GGUCUACUCUAAUUCAACGAAACAAAACUUCGAUAUCGAACGAAAUUCAAACGAAGUUUCGUUAGUGACCCUACUCUAUUUCAUUUUCGGAUGCGCAUACGAAGUUCGGAACCAUAGACAAUUUUCGUGAACGAAUGGAAUCUAUAAUAUUGUGUGGGGCUUUUAUGAUGUCGACUAAACUAAGUUACGGUUUUUACUUUAACUUGAAAUUAUUAAACUUUUCAGCUUUACUUAUUCAUGUAACAUUAUAAAUGUGAUUCAUUACAUAUUUCUUGUAAUAUUCAUGCAAACAAUCUUAACUUUCCGGCAAAAAAUAUUUUUUCAACUACAUUCGACUCGACACUAUAAAAAACCCUUUGACAGUCAUUGCUAACCAACUAAUUUGAAGAGUACUAUUUCAUGCCAAAAAUGGGUAAUCACGUAUGACAACCAAAAAUAGCUGCUUAUUACAAUCUUAUCAAAACAUGUCAACUUACAAUUCUUUGUUUGAAUACUUUGAUAAGUUUUCUGAAGUGUGUUUCUCAAGUGUCGUAUUAAAUAAAUCAUGUUUCCAAGUGCUUUUAUACCAAGGUACGCGUUCCCUAAGGAAGUAUUAUGUCGUACUUUACUACAGUCCGACUUCUACGUAGGUACGUCUGCUGUAUUUUGGUUCGCAACAAGUUUGUUUUGGAUUUAAAAACUUCUUUAAAAUGGCUCCACAUAAGGGGUUCGGCAACUCCUCAACAAAUCGAAACCGUUCUCAA